rnacentral:rRNA from 1 species
GACGAACGCUGGCGGCAGGCCUAACACAUGCAAGUCGAGCGAGAGGCGGACGGGUGAGUAAUGUCUGGGAAACUGCCUGAUGGGGGGGGAUAACUAAUGGCAACGGUAGCUAAUACCGCAUACCAUCAGAUGUGCCCAGCUGGGAGUAGCUAGGAGGUGGGGUAGCGGCUCACCUAGGCGACGAUCCAUAGCUGGUCUGCGAGGAUGACCAGCCACACUGGAACUGAGACACGGUCCAGACUCCUACGGUAGGCAGCAGUGGGGAAUAUUGCACAAUGGGCGCAAGCCUGAGACAGCCAUGCCGCGUGUGUGAAGAAGGCCUUCGGGUUGUAAAGCACUUUCAGCGGGGAGGCGUUACCCGCAGAAGAAGCACCGGCUAACUCCGUGCCAGCAGCCGCGGUAAUAC